GGGGAUGUGACUUAGCGGUAGAGUGCUCACCUCGCAUGUGUGAGACCCUGGGUUCAAUCCUCAGCACCA
rnacentral:tRNA from 1 species